rnacentral:tRNA from 1 species
UCCCUUGUAGCUCAGUUGGUAGAGCCCGCCUGCAAUACAGGAGACUCAGGUUCGAUUCCUGAGUCGGGAA